AUUGAACGCUGGCGGCAUGCCUUACACAUGCAAGUCGAACGGCAGCACGGGAGCAAUCCUGGUGGCGAGUGGCGAACGGGUGAGUAAUAUAUCGGAACGUGCCCAGUCGUGGGGAUAACGUAGCGAAAGCUACGCUAAUACCGCAUACGAUCUAUGGAUGAAAGCGGGGGAUCGCAAGACCUCGCGCGAUUGGAGCGGCCGAUAUCAGAUUAGGUAGUUGGUGAGGUAAAGGCUCACCAAGCCGACGAUCUGUAGCUGGUCUGAGAGGACGACCAGCACACUGGGAC
rnacentral:rRNA from 1 species